rnacentral:rRNA from 1 species
CAGCCGCCGCGGGAAUACAGAGGGUGCGAGCGUUAAUCGGAUUUACUGGGCGUAAAGCGUGCGUAGGCGGCUUCUUAAGUCGGAUGUGAAAUCCCUGAGCUUAACUUAGGAAUUGCAUUCGAUACUGGGAAGCUAGAGUAUGGGAGAGGAUGGUAGAAUUCCAGGUGUAGCGGUGAAAUGCGUAGAGAUCUGGAGGAAUACCGAUGGCGAAGGCAGCCAUCUGGCCUAAUACUGACGCUGAGGUACGAAAGCAUGGGGAGCAAACAGGAUUAGAUACCCCUGUAGUUCCUGUCUCUUAUAC